GAUUCCUGGGGACACGGACAGACGGGGACACAGAGGCAAGACAGGAGGGGGUCCCGGCGGUCAGACCCACAGCCCUUCGUAGUGACAGAAGCUUCCCCCCCACCCCCGCCACAAGGACACCCCCUUUCCAAAGGCUGUGUCGCUGGGAUUUAGAACUUUCUAGAAAGCCCAUCUUGGAAACCUCUGGCUACAGGGGGUGGGGAGGGGUCCUGGGAGUUGAUGGGCCCCAUCACCCCACUCCCACCAGCGGGCACCUGGGCCCUGUCACCUCUGUAGCCGGGGACAAGUACAGGACAGAUGGAGAGCGGCCGCCCGGUGCUGCCACUAGCUCUGGGCUCUGAGGACAGGCCGGCUUCCUGCCCUGCCCUGCCCUGCCCUGCCCCCCGGGGAGGGUGUCACAGCAGGUGACAGAAAGGUGAUAGCCAGUGACAGGUGGUAGAAAGGUGGCAGUUGACAGAGGUGACACAAAGGUGACAUGGUGAUGGGAGGGUGGCAGGUGACCAACAGGUGCCAGCCGAGGGCUGGAGGGCGGCACUCACCUCGGGUGCCCUUGGGGCAAGGUCUCUCCACCAGCAUGCCCUGCUGCGUGGCCGGCCA